rnacentral:rRNA from 1 species
AACGGCCGCGGUAUCCUAACCGUGCGAAGGUAGCGUAAUCACUUGUUCUUUAAAUGAGGACUAGUAUGAAUGGCACCACGAGGGUUAAACUGUCUCCUUUUUUUAAUCAGUGAAACUAAUCUCCCCGUGAAGAAGCGGGGAUUCUUUUAUAAGACGAGAAGACCCUAUGGAGCUUUAAACAAGUUAACACCUGCUACUAAUCNNUUCACUUUCCUAAACCACCACAUUAAGUAUAGCACCUCUGAUUAACAGUUUUCGAUUGGGGUGAUCAUGGAGCAAAAAUCAACCUCCACGACGAAAAGGAACACCUCCUUGAGCCAAAAGCUACAACUUUAAGCACUAAAAAACUAACGCACUUUGACCCAAUUCUUUGAGCAACGAACCAAGUUACCCUAGGGAUAACAGCGCAAUCCACUUUAAGAGCCCCUAUCGACAAGUGGGUUUACGACCUCGAUGUUGGAUCAGGGUAUCCCAGUGGUGCAGCCGCUACUAAAGGUUCGUUUGUUCAACGAUUAAAACCCUACGUGAUCUGAGUUCAGACCGGAGUAAUCCAGGUCAGUUUCUAUCUAUAAAGGGCUUUUUCUAGUACGAAAGGACCGAAAAAGCAUGGCCUAUAACCCAUCAAGCCAUAUAAAUUACUAUUGUUCCCAACUUAAAUAGAAGUAAACCUACCACUUAUCUCGAUAAAAGAGAAGUUAACGUAGCAUAACCUGGCCUUGCAG